rnacentral:lncRNA from 10 species
GCGGCGGGAAGGCCGCGGGAGGCUGCGCCGGGCGGGGAGGCCGCGGGAGGCUGCGCAGUGGCGGCGCCGGCAGGUCCCGCGCGCCCCUCCCGGGACGCGUGCGCAUCGGCCGAGCGCGGGAAGCGCCUGCGGUCAGCACCGCGGACAGCUCCUGGUGCGCGCGGGCCAGGAGCCCGGGGUCCAGGGGCCAGAGAAGGGCGGCCUGCGGGAGAUGCGGGAAUUUUACCAGGUCGGCCUGGAGGGACCGACCCUGUGCCGCUAAAGACUUCGGGAGCCACCUGUACGGGCCUCACACAGGCCGACUCUGGGUCGUCAGUUCCUCAUCAGCUCGAACGAAAGGAGACCAGGAGAGAGAGGGCGGGGCGGGGGGUGUUGGAGGACACCCCCAAGGUGCUCAUAGUGAGGUGUAGGAGUGCGGUUUGCAGUCCAGGCUGAAGUGAUUCCUUUGCGGGGGUCCCGAAAUGCAAUGUAUGAGGGGAGGGGCCAGAUCGUGGAGGAGUCGGGGUCCAAGGGACUGGGACAGAGGUCAUCCUCGAAGAGAUGGGGAGGGUGAGGCCAGGUGUGGGCAGGAGGGGGUGGACCGGGAGCUUCUGCAGCGCCAGCCCUCCGCGGGGACGUGUGUUACACUGCCUGACAUGGGCAGGACCCUGGAGCUGCAUUUGUAAGAUAAAUAAUGGGUGUCCCGAGCGCCUCAUUAAGACAUCUUUGCUGAGAUGGAAAUCGCUGAGGCAUUAAUUAAUAGAAUUAAUGCCUUUUCUAGUUGCCUUUAAGACUAAGUCACCUUUAGUCCAAUUCCCAGAGUGAGGAAGCCUUAACAUUGCUCCUCCUGGUUUAAAAUUCCAUCAGCAUUUUUGUUGCAAGCAUUAAAAAAUAUUUUUGUUUUAUUGACUAAGUAAUAUAUGCUCAUUUCUUAAGUCAAGUAAUAGAGAUAUGUAUACAAUAAAAUAGAAAGCCUUCUCCUCAUCCCCCUCCCCUACCCCAUCACACUACCAGGGGUGACCACUUCAAUAGCCUGGCAUCUAUUUUUCUAGACAUUUUGCUAAGCACAUAAGCACACACACAGAAUUAACAAAAAUGCUUCAUACCAUACAUAGUUUUCUGAAGGCUGAUUCUUUUAUUCAACAAAAUGUCAAGGAGAUUAUUCCCUGCCUACACAUACACCUAUUUUGUUCUUUUUAAUAACUGCAUAAGACUCCAUUAUAAUGAUGAUUCCACAAUCUGCAUAACUAUUCCUCUUAAGGUGGAUGUUUUGUGUCUCCAGUUUUUGCUGUCUCAAAUGCUGUCAUGUGAACAUUCUUGUACACAUAUGUUUGCGUUCUUGCACAGGCAUUUUUAUAAGAGAAAUUCUUAGAAGAGGAAUUGCUGGGUCAUGGGGUAUGCACAUUUAAAAUGUUGACAGAAAUUGCCAAACCGGCUUUAAAAAUGUUGUUCAGCCGGGCGCGGUGGCUCACGCCUGUAAUCUCAGCACUUUGGGAGGGCGAGGCGGGUGGAUCACGAGGUCAGGAGAUCGAGACCAUCCUGGCUAACAUGGUGAAACCCCGUCUCUACUAAAAAUACAAAAAAAUCAGCCGGGUGUGGUGGCGGGUGCCUGUAGUCCCAGCUACUCGGGAGGGCGAGACAUGAGAAUCGCUUGAACCUGGGAGGCAGAGGUUGCAGUGAGCCGAGAUCACGCCACUACACUCCAGCUUGGGCGACAGAGCGAGACUUGGUCUCAAAAAAAAUAAAAAUAAAAAUAAAAAAAUUAAAAUGUUGUUCAAAUUUACCCUCACAUCUGGGUUGUAGACCCCUCC